UAAAAUUGAUAUGGUAAUAUCAAAAGUGGGAAGUCCUUUACACUGAAAAAAAAUACUUUCAUGAAAAAUAUGUCAGGAUUUUUCUUUGUCAUCAUAAGCCAGACUUUGGGAAGUGCUGAACAAAUAUUUCUGUAGAUAUGCUAAGAUAUCCAGAGCCUCCUAUAACCAUUAUAAAAUAUCUGUUAGAUAAAGGCAUUUUUUAAGGAUCUGUGAUUGUACCUGACUAGCCCUAACAUAGAUUUAAGCAAUGAGGUCAUUGUCUCAUAGAUUGCAAGGGUGUUUGGGAGCUGCUGAGGUCAUCAAGUCCUCAUCUCCUUUUCACAUGACUUUAGGGCCAUACACUACCUUAUGUAGAUUACCUAAAGUGAGUUACUUCUGCGUCUCAUUUUUAUUUAGCAAUUAUUUAUCCCUACUAUAUGUCAGCCCCUGUGUUAGGUCUAGGUUUUAAGAAGACGACUGAAGUGGCAUCUUUGCCCUUGGAUAUUCACUAACCGAACUUCACACCCAGCUGCCUGCCUGCCUGCCCUUUGAUUAUUAUUACUCACUGUUUCUCAUUGCCUCCCAUAGCUAAGCUGAGACUUAUUAGUCAAGUGAGGCCCAGAGAACCUUGCAUCAGAGGAAAGAGUGAUGAAAAAUUACUGAGUGCCUAUUAUGCUGAGGCUUUUUACAUACUAUAUCAGUUUUCAUUAUCAAGAAAACCUUUUGAGUGAGUAUGGUUUUUAAUAAUUUACAGAUGAGGCUGCUACCUAAGAGAGGUUCAGAGAUUUGUUUGAGGUUUCUCUAAGCAGCCUUAGGACUAUUCCCAAGAUUUGUUUGUCCUGAUGUUUUUUACUAUAUCUCAGUGCCUUGAAAAGAGGAUAAUACAAAGAUUCAAUUUAUAAAUCUAAUGGAGGCUGAGCCAACAUUGUUCCUAUUAUAUAUAAUCUUGAUAUUUACCUAAUUAUCUCUUGUCUUAAUUUCCAGAUCUUUCGCUUGUUGCUCUACCUAAAAUCCUUACAAGUCUUUUGUUUGUUUGUUUUUAAUCAGAAGAUAGACUUCCCCCACAUUUUACUCUUCAGUGAAACAAUCCUGAUCCACUCCGCCUCCAUAGCUUCCUUCUUAUCAGCCUAUCUUCUUUUCGUGUUGUAAUGUUUAGUAUACUCAUUGCAGUCUGAAAUUAUCUUACAUAAUUUUUUGUCUGUUUCCCUCAAAAGAAUGUAAGUUCUUGAAAGCAGAGUACUUGACUGAUAUAAAAAACUGUAUUCCUAACAUGUAGUAUAGUGUCUCACAGAGAAUAUACCCUCAAUAAAAUUGUUGGAGAAAUGAAUUUAUUUUCAGAUACAAUUAGCAUUGUUAUCCAUUCUUUGUUAGAAUACUACACUAUCUUUGAAAAUUAUGGAUAUUCUUGUUCUCACAUCAGGUGCCUGUUUCUCAGGAGUUGUUCAGUUUUUCAUAGUUUUUAAAAAUAAACCAAAAUAGUAAUUUUAUAUUAUGUAAGACAUGUAAUUAUUUCGGAGACCUAGAAACCUGAAGCAAAAUAAAAUUUGCUAUAUGUAGAAAAUUGCCACCUUUUAAGAAUUCACCUUUAUAGAUUCAUCUUGUGAUGAUGUAUUUUCCGCAUUUGAGAAAUGGCAGAUGCUUAAGGUGACCAGAUUAGUGAGGAAAAUUAUGUCUUCAGUUUCUGGUAAGUUAACAGCAACCUGGAUGCAAUUCUCCCUUGCUAUCAGCAGGGGUCUCAAAAAGCUUUUUGCCCACCAAAAUGUCUAUGUAAAAGAAAUUUGUGGAUUCGUAACUUUUGUUGUUAUUAUUGAACACACAUUCUCUAAGAUGUGCUACAUAAAAUUAAUUUUAAAAAGUCUGUCUUUUAAAAAGAUGCAUUAUUGGGGUUUUGCUUAUUAGCAUCAAUAACUAAUUUUGUGUUUACCUAGCACCAAGUUGGUAAGAAUAUCUUAAGCAUCAGAAAACAUGGUGUGAACAUAAUACUGACUUACUUGUGUUUUGGAAAUUUCUCAAAUUCAAAGUACUCGACGUAUUUCCUGUUUUUAAACAAGCCCAGGGAACAGUGUGAAUUGAAAUGAAUAAAAUUGGUAGGAAACAACCUGCAACUCUCCGAUCUAUCCCUUUCUGAAUUAUUCAGUGACUUGUUUGGGAAGCAACCUAUUGCACUUGUCUUUUAGAAGAUGUUCUCUGUUAGGCUCCACUAAGGCUGGGCAGGCACUGUACCAGCCUCCCUGCUGCCCAUGAUCAUCUCAGCCCUGAUUUCAGGAAGAGUAGCAGAGAUCCCAGCAUCAUUUUAUGUCCUCCACUGUAUCCUACCAGCUUGUACAUUUUCCAUCUUCUCUCCACCUCACCCUCUUUUUCUUCCUAAGGCUUUUGUGCAGGAUCUUUUUUUUCCAUCUAAGUUUUCUCCCCGUAUUUCUUCACAUGAUGGAUCUAUUUUUCUUUCUCAGAUCUUAAUUAUUUAAUUCCUCGAAGUGGCCUUUCCUGCCAAAUUUUAUCACAACACCCUGAAUGUUUCUCACAGAGCCUCAGUUUGCAGUUACUUUAUGCACUGUUGUUUACCUAUUUGUUGUCUUUCCCAGGAGUUUGAAAAAUCGAUGAAAGUUGGCAUUAUCUGUAACCCUCACCACUGUGUGCCCAUGGCCCAGUAAAUAUUGGUGUGGACAAGUGUGUGUAUCUGGAUGGGGAAAACAAUGAUAGUAAAUACAAAGAGAUUUAAACUAAAGUAUUUUUGCAGAGUCCAAAAUGAAAAUCAAAUCUAGAUUUAAUGUGCAGCCAUGAGUGGGAGAAUAACAAUUCCAAGUGCUUAUAUAGAAACUGUGUUAUGUAUUGAAAGUAUAUAUGAUCUGUAAAUAAAUAUUUAAGUUAUAAACUUAUAAAAAUACUUGCUGGAGCAUGACUCCAUAUUUCCCAGAGGUAUAAGUACCAAAUACAUGUGUCUAUGCUGUAGUAUUCAAAGGCUCCUGGGAUAUUGGAACCAAUUUUAGAAUGCCUUUAUCUUAUAAGAUUAAUAUCCUUAUCUUUAUAAUACUCUUUCUAAUGUACAAGAUUUGUCAUCAUUGGCAGCAAUAUCAGCAUCAUGAAUAUUUAUUAAUUACUCUACAACGAGUUGUGCAGCCUGGUUUAGAAGUAAUCCCUGCCUGAAUGGAAAUUUGCAAGCUGUAGCAGAUGACAUUUGUGUGGGUGACAAGGUGAAUCUCUAUGAAGCAGCAAAUGUCCAUCAACAAUUAACAUCUUAGUAGAUUAUGCCUGUGUUGACACUUCCAGUCUCAAUAAAUGUUUUGCCUCAUUAUCCAAUGGUGGUUAUUGAGCUAUUAGUGCUAUCCCAUGCAUUAGCACAAUUGUUUGUUGAGGAAAAUGAAGUUGUGAAUUCGGUAUGUGUUUCCUUCCUUCUUUGUUCCUAAGAAUAAUUUCUGUUUUCUGCCAUCUUAUCCUGUGCUAAAGAGAAUGCAAGUGCCAUCAGGACAGGGAAUUGGUUUAUUGGGUCUACAGUUACAUCUCUGUUUCCAAUCACUGUUCUUGUAACAAGUGAGGGUUCAAUACAUAUGUGUUAAACAAGAAAAAUGUUCACAUUUCUUCAUUAAAUAGAGAGUGCUUACUAUGUGCAGAUGCUAAGGAAAGCACUUUACAUAUACAGGUGCCCGUUGAACAACAUGGAUUUUAACUGCACAGGUGCACUUGGAUGUGGAUUUUUUUCCCCAUAAAUACUGUCAUAGUACUGCUUGAUCAGAGGUUGGUUGACUCUGUAGAUUUGAACUCUAGGUAUGGAGGUACUGCAGGUAGGGAGAACCAGCUAUGAAGUUAUAUGCAGAUUUUCAACCGGACAGAGUGUCGGAACCCCUAACCCCUGUAUUGUCCAAGGUCAACUGUAUUAUCUAAUUUAAUCCUCCCUAUAAAGCUACAAUUUUGAAAUGUUAUUGUCCCACCUUCCAAGUAAGUAAACUGAAUUUUAGAAAGUUUGUGUUGUCUGUAGUAUUUAUGCAAUCGACGAUGGAGAGAAUAUUAAGCCUCAAGAUACUUUCCAUCAUCCUACUGAUGCUGUUAGACCAAGAGGCAGUAGGAAAUUGAUACAGUUGCAAUUCAUGCUCAACAGAGGCUUUGGUUGUUAAUAUUCUGUACUAAGUGAGUGAGGGACGGUGUAAUUCAAUAAUGUCUCCUUAAAGUGUUCACAAAGACAAAAUUAACCAUUUUAUAAAUCAAAUCCUAGUCUUUAUGGAUUAUAGAUAAGCUAUAUCAUGUAGUUCCAAAUAACACCUCACUGAAGAAGAAGAGCAUGGUCUUUUACAGGGUAUUAGCUGUGAAGAUAUAAGACUAAAUGGAUUUUCAGUUCCGUUUCUUUAAAGCUGUGUAGUUUAAUUUCUCUGUGCCUCAAUUUCCUCACCUGUAAAAUGGAUAUUAAUAGUGACUGAUAAAUACUUGAUAUAUACUAUAUCAUUUAUAACAGAGGCCUAUUUACAUUAAAUAUGUAAUGUUAACUAGUAUCAUGACUCAAUCUAUUCUAGAAAUAAGGAAAAUAUGGCAAACAUUCUUCAAUUUAUAUGAAUAAAAAUCUAUCUCAAACAACAUAGGAUGUGUUUGGAAGAUGCUAUGUCUCUAUGUUUCUGUCUAUGACUACAUGGAUAGCCUGGAGUUAUAGAUUUUUAAGGAUAAAUACAUUAGUUAUACCAAUAAAAUUACAUCUCCUUUCCUACACUAAAAGUAUCUGAUUGUACACUUUUUGCAUGUAAUUUGUUAUAUAUUCCAUUCACAACAAAUUAGUCAGGAGAUUUAAAGCUGGCAGUUGGUCCAGCAAAGAACAACUUAUUACCUAAUAAACAAUACCCCACACCAAAUAUUUCAAUUUCUAUACUACUAAUUUUGGCUGUAAGAAACCUAGAACUCUGCCCUUCUGUUUUACAGUGACCCCAGCACACUAGAGACAUUUUCAGCAAGAUUUUAAUUAAAAUAAAAUCUCCUCUAAUGAAAACUCCUUAUGCAUGUUUCACUCAUAUAAAGUUGUCGCAGUAAUAGAUUUGAAAAUGGGUAACCAGCAUCAGAAUCCUGUCAUUUUAAGAAAUGGACACUUUUUCUGUAUUUUUUCCAAGACUGAUUGUGUUUAUUUUUCCACUUUGUAUUUUUUUAUUAACAUUAGAUCAUGAGUGUUUCUCCUCGUGGUUAUUCUUCACUGAUAUUUUUUCAUUUGUUAUAUGUAUUGAUAAUUUGUUUAACCAAGCCCCCUUGAUAGACCUGUCUAUUUCUCUUUUUCUUUUUUGUAAACUCCACUAUAAAAUCUCCCUUGUAAGCACAUUUAUAUUUAUUUAUAUAUUUAUCUCAGUAUCCUUCUUGUAGGAUAGAUUUCUGUAUGUGAGGUGACUUGGUCAAAGGAUUUUGAAAAGUUUUAUGACACCUGAACUGUAAAGCCAAAUCUUCUAAAGGGUUGUACAAUUUGUCAGCAGCAGUUCAUGAGUGUGUUGUGUUUAAAUUGCUUUCUAUAAUUGAGUUACUAUCAUCAUGCAUUUGUCUUCCUCUCAUUAGUAUCAGCCAAUGGCUCAGGUUAGUAUGGACUUCUGUUUGAGAUGCCAGGUUCAUCAUUUCCAAUAAUUCAGUUGUAAAUCUUCUUUUUUUUAACUUUUUUUGGUCUUUUUGCCUUUUCUAUGGAUGCACCUGUGGCACAUGGAGAUUCCUAGGCUAGGUGUCCAAUUGAAGCUGUAGCUCCCGGCCUACGCCAGAGCCACAGCAACGUGGGAUUGCAGCCGCAUCUGCAACCCACACCACAGCUCACGGCAAUGUCAGAUCCUUAACCCACUGAACAAGGCCAGGAAUCAUGAAUCAUGGUUCCUAGUCAGAUUUGUUAACCACUGAGCCACGACGGGGGCUCCGUGAAUCUUCUUGUGUAAAUGACUUUUUCUGAUUAGCCUCUGUCCAUUUAGCUAUUGAUGUCUUUGAUGUAUUUUAUUUAUAUGACAUCUAUAUAACAUACACCUUAACAACUUAAGCUUUUCUGUUAAUUUUCUUAUAUUUCAAUUUUUCUUUCUUAGAAAUUUAACUUUGGAGUUCCCAUUGUGGCUCUUUGUGUUAAGAACCUGACAUAGUGUCCAUGAGGAUGUGGGUCCAAUCCCUGGCUUCAUUCAGUGGGUUUAGGAUCCAGCAUUGACACAGGUUGUGGUGUCAGCCACAGAUAUGGCUCAGUUCCAGCAUUGCUGUGGCUGUGGUGUAGGCCAGCAGUUGCAGCUCUGAUUCGACUCCUAGCCAGAGAACUCCCACAUGCCCCAGGUGCAGCCAGCCAUUAAAAAAAGAAAAAAAGGAAAAAGAAAAGAAAUUUAACUUUAUGUAGAAAGAUUGACUUUGUCCUUUUUUAUUUUUUUAAAGUCUUAGAAAUUUCACAGUUAUCCAUGACCCAAUCAAUAUUGUAUAUUCUAUUAAGUAUUUUUCUUCACCUGUAAAAAUUUAUUCAGGUAUAUGGUAUAAAGUAUAUGAUAUAAAGCAUUCUAUUUCAAGUGAAAUGCUAAACUCUUUUCCCAGCAUUGUUUAAUUUUCCCUUCCCAUUGUUUCAUGAUGCUUGCUUUGUCAUAUAUUAUAUGUUUAUAUAUAAUUGGAUCUCUUUAUAGGCCUUUUAAAAACAGGGUUUGACCUAUAUAAAAUUAUGAUGACUGGACAUUGCUCUAAGAUGUUGAUUGAAUGCUUCUACAUGGUAUCUUCUCUAUGGCAGGUUGUUAACAUUUGAAUGUUUUAUAGAAGUGAAUUCUUAAAAAGAUGUUGGUGAGUGCAUUGGAAACCUUUUAAAAUGGCUAUAAUUAGCUACUCUGAGAGAAUAUUAUAGGCUUUGAUGGGCCCCUCAGUGGCAGUUCCACUGGCCUAUCUUAUUGACUGACAAAAGAUUGUAGGGGAAUAUUUAAUGUUGUUUUAAUUAACAACUCCUAAAAGAAAAUGUCAAUUAUCUUCCAUUAGCCUGAGGCCUUAUCUUUCCAAAAUUUUCCCUCAACCCCCUUUAAAAUGGUACAUAGAAAAUUAUUUCUUUUAUUCCCCCAUAGACAUCCAUCAUCUUUUUGGAAGUGAGACCAGUGUUUAGUUUUUACAUCUUUAGUCAAUUAUUGCUUUAAAUCU
rnacentral:lncRNA from 1 species